AUCUGUGAAGCAGCUCCCCUGUCCUCCCGCGCGAUGCUCCACACAGCUUGCUCGCAGGAGGACAGGGGAGCUGCUUCACAGAU